GAUGAACGCUAGCUACAGGCUUAACACAUGCAAGUCGAGGGGUAACGAGAGGAAAGCUUGCUUUCCUUGUCGACGACCGGCGCACGGGUGAGUAACGCGUAUCCAACCUGCCCCCAACUAGGGAAUAACCUUGCGAAAGUAAGACUAAUACCCUAUAAUUUCCUCAGAUGACAUCUGACGAGGAAUAAAGAUUUAUCGGUUGUGGAUGGGGAUGCGUCUGAUUAGCUUGUUGGCGGGGUAACGGCCCACCAAGGCAACGAUCAGUAGGGGUUCUGAGAGGAAGGUCCCCCACAUUGGAACUGAGACACGGUCCAAACUCCUACGGGAGGCAGCAGUGAGGAAUAUUGGUCAGUGGCGGAAGCCUGAACCAGCCAAGUAGCGUGCAGGAUGACGGCCCUAUGGGUUGUAAACUGCUUUUAUACAGGAAUAAAGUUAGCCACGUGUGGUUAUUUGUAGGUACUGUAUGAAUAAGGACCGGCUAAUUCCGUGCCAGCAGCCGCCGUAA
rnacentral:rRNA from 1 species